UGCAAGUCGAGCGGAUCUUUGGAGAGCUUGCUUCCCUAUUAAUUAGCGGCGGACGGGUGAGUAACACGUGGGCAACCUGCCUGUAAGACUGGGAUAACUUCGGGAAACCGGAGCUAAUACCGGAUAAUAUAAAGAACCUCAUGGUUCUCUAUUAAAAGAUGGUUUCGGCUAUCACUUACAGAUGGGCCCGCGGCGCAUUAGCUAGUUGGUGAGGUAACGGCUCACCAAGGCAACGAUGCGUAGCCGACCUGAGAGGGUGAUCGGCCACACUGGGACUGAGACACGGCCCAGACUCCUACGGGAGGCAGCAGUAGGGAAUCUUCCGCAAUGGACGAAAGUCUGACGGAGCAACGCCGCGUGAACGAUGAAGGCCUUCGGGUCGUAAAGUUCUGUUGUUAAGGAAGAACAAGUACGAGAGUAACUGCUCGUACCUUGACGGUACUUAACCAGAAAGCCACGGCUAACUACGUGCCAGCAGCCGCGGUAAUACGUAGGUGGCAAGCGUUAUCCGGAAUUAUUGGGCGUAAAGCGCGCGCAGGCGGUCUCUUAAGUCUGAUGUGAAAGCCCCCGGCUCAACCGGGGAGGGUCAUUGGAAACUGGGAGACUUGAGUGCAGAAGAGGAGAGUGGAAUUCCACGUGUAGCGGUGAAAUGCGUAGAGAUGUGGAGGAACACCAGUGGCGAAGGCGACUCUCUGGUCUGUAACUGACGCUGAGGCGCGAAAGCGUGGGGAGCGAACAGGAUUAGAUACCCUGGUAGUCCACGCCGUAAACGAUGAGUGCUAAGUGUUAGAGGGUUUCCGCCCUUUAGUGCUGCAGCCAAACCCAUUAAGCAUUCCGCCUGGGAAGUACGUUCGCAGGACUGAAAUUCAAAGGAAUGGACGGGGGCCGGCACAAGCCGUGGAGGCAUGUGGUUUAUUUGGAAGCAACGCGAGAACCCUUACCAGUUCUUACCAUCCUAAUGACCCCUCUAGAGGAAGAAUUUUUCCUUUUGGGGACAAAGGUGACAGGUGGUGCAUGGUUGUCGUCAGCUCGUGUCGUGAGAUGUUGGGUUAAGUCCCGCAACGAGCGCAACCCUUGAUCUUAGUUGCCAGCAUUCAGUUGGGCACUCUAAGGUGACUGCCGGUGACAAACCGGAGGAAGGUGGGGAUGACGUCAAAUCAUCAUGCCCCUUAUGACCUGGGCUACACACGUGCUACAAUGGAUGGUACAAAGGGCAGCAAAACCGCGAGGUUAAGCGAAUCCCAUAAAACCAUUCUCAGUUCGGAUUGCAGGCUGCAACUCGCCUGCAUGAAGCUGGAAUCGCUAGUAAUCGCGGAUCAGCAUGCCGCGGUGAAUACGUUCCCGGGCCUUGUACACACCGCCCGUCACACCACGAGAGUUUGUAACACCCGAAGUCGGUGGGGU
rnacentral:rRNA from 2 species